rnacentral:misc_RNA from 1 species
AGUCGUAACAAGGUUUCCGUAGGUGAACCUGCGGAAGGAUCAUUACCGAGUGCGGGCUGCCUCCGGGCGCCCAACCUCCCACCCGUGACUACCUAACACUGUUGCUUCGGCGGGGAGCCCCCUAGGGGCGAGCCGCCGGGGACCACUGAACUUCAUGCCUGAGAGUGAUGCAGUCUGAGCCUGAAUACAAAUCAGUCAAAACUUUCAACAAUGGAUCUCUUGGUUCCGGCAUCGAUGAAGAACGCAGCGAACUGCGAUAAGUAAUGUGAAUUGCAGAAUUCAGUGAAUCAUCGAGUCUUUGAACGCACAUUGCGCCCCCUGGCAUUCCGGGGGGCAUGCCUGUCCGAGCGUCAUUGCUGCCCUCAAGCCCGGCUUGUGUGUUGGGUCGUCGUCCCCCCCGGGGGACGGGCCCGAAAGGCAGCGGCGGCACCGUGUCCGGUCCUCGAGCGUAUGGGGCUUUGUCACCCGCUCGAUUAGGGCCGGCCGGGCGCCAGCCGGCGUCUCCAACCUUAUUUUUCUCAGGUUGACCUCGGAUCAGGUAGGGAUACCCGCUGAACCUAAGCAUAUCA